GACGAACGCUGGCGGCGUGCUUAACACAUGCAAGUCGAACGGAAAGGCCCUGCUUUUGUGGGGUGCUCGAGUGGCGAACGGGUGAGUAACACGUGAGUAACCUGCCCUUGACUUUGGGAUAACUUCAGGAAACUGGGGCUAAUACCGGAUAGGAGCUCCUGCUGCAUGGUGGGGGUUGGAAAGUUUCGGCGGUUGGGGAUGGACUCGCGGCUUAUCAGCUUGUUGGUGGGGUAGUGGCUUACCAAGGCUUUGACGGGUAGCCGGCCUGGGAGGGUGACCGGCCACAUUGGGACUGAGAGACGGCCCAGUCUCCUACGGGAGGCAGCAGGGGGGAAUAUUGCACAAUGGGCGGAAGCCUGAUGCAGCAACGCCGCGUGCGGGAUGACGGCCUUCGGGUUGUAAACCGCUUUCGCCUGUGACGAAGCGUGAGUGACGGUAGUGGGUAAAGAAGCACCGGCUAACUACGUG
rnacentral:rRNA from 1 species